rnacentral:lncRNA from 1 species
CCUUCCGCAGUGUUUGUGUCCCUGGGUACUUGAGAUUAGGGAGUGGUGAUGACUCUUAAGGAGCUUGCUGCCUUCAAGCAUCUGUUUAACAAAGCACAUCUUGCACCGCCCUUAAUCCAUUCAACCCUGAGUGGAUACAGCACAUGUUUCAGAGAGCACAGGGUUGGGGGUAAGGUCACAGAUCAACAGGAUCCCAAGGCAGAAGAAUUUUUCUUAGUACAGAACAAAAUGAAAAGUCUCCCAUGUCUACCUCUUUCUACACAGACACGGCAACCAUCCGAUUUCUCAAUCUUUUCCCCACCUUUCCCCCCUUUCUAUUCCACAAAACCGCCACUGUCAUCAUGGCCCGUUCUCAAUGAGCUGUUGGGUACACCUUGCAGACGGGGUGGUGGCCGGGCAGAGGGGCUCCUCACUUCCCAGUAGGGGCGGCCGGGCAGAGGCGCCCCUCAC